CCUACGGGAGGCAGCAGUGGGGAAUAUUGGACAAUGGGGGCAACCCUGAUCCAGCCAUGCCGCGUGUGUGAAGAAGGCCCUCGGGUUGUAAAGCACUUUCAGUGAGGAAGAACGCCUGGUGGUUAAUACCCAUCAGGAAAGACAUCACUCACAGAAGAAGCACCGGCUAACUCCGUGCCAGCAGCCGCGGUAAUACGGAGGGUGCGAGCGUUAAUCGGAAUUACUGGGCGUAAAGCGCGCGUAGGUGGCUUGAUAAGCCGGUUGUGAAAGCCCCGGGCUCAACCUGGGAACGGCAUCCGGAACUGUCAAGCUAGAGUGCAGGAGAGGAAGGUAGAAUUCCCGGUGUAGAGGUGAAAUGCGUAGAGAUCGGGAGGAAUACCAGUGGCGAAGGCGGCCUUCUGGACUGACACUGACACUGAGGUGCGAAAGCGUGGGUAGCAAACAGGAUUAGAUACACCGGUAGUC
rnacentral:rRNA from 1 species